UACGAAGGGGGCUAGCGUUGCUCGGAAUCACUGGGCGUAAAGCGCACGUAGGCGGACUCUUAAGUCAGGGGUGAAAUCCUGGAGCUCAACUCCAGAACUGCCUUUGAUACUGAGAGCCUUGAGUCCGGAAGAGGUAAGUGGAACUGCGAGUGUAGAGGUGAAAUUCGUAGAUAUUGGGAAGAACACCAGUGGCGAAGGCGGCUCACUGGCCCGUAACUGACGCUGAGGUGCGAAAGCGUGGGGAGCAAACAGG
rnacentral:rRNA from 1 species